rnacentral:lncRNA from 1 species
UUUUUUUUUUUUUUUUUUUUUGAGUAUCUGUGAGGAUUACGCCAAUGACUUAGCUUUAAGAACAUUUUUAGCAGGCACAAAUUGCUGAAAACGAUUAGGGGUAAGCUCCAGAGGGUGACUUAAGAUUGUUGAAAUUCUAUGUGUUCAGAAUUUCAGCAUAUGUUCAGCAUCUGAGGUGGAGACUAAUCCAUUAGAAAACACUGCUGCUGCCUCAACUCUUCUCAGUCAAGCUAAGAUUGAUGAGGACAGAACAUUUCCAGGUAAUACUUUGAAAUUUUUAUUUGAUUUUUACAGUAGUCAGUGCCAUAUUUGUUACUGUUUGAGAACAUUUUCAUGGGAAACAGGCUUGUUGACCAUUGCUGUAUUUUUAAAAAUAUGUUUAUUUGUGUCACUUUGCAUCACAUGUGUGUAUAUGUCCCAGAAUAGGGCAGCAGAUCCCCUAACUAGACCUUGCAGUGAGUGCUGGGAACUGAACUUGUAUCCUCUGCAAGAACAUCAAGUGUUCUUAGGUAGUGAGUCAUCUCUAGCCCUUGCUAUGGUUUUUAAAUUUGUGGUUAUCAUUAAUUCUUUCUAGAAUUUCUUCUAUUGACUGCUUUGUGGCAGUACCUAAAUACUAUCUUUGGCCUGCCUACCACAAAUUCUUUGGUUUCUCUAGCUCCUAUUUUGAUAUUCUCUAGAGAAGUGCUCUUUAAUGAAUUGCUUAAGCUGGGGAUAUUCCUCAGACUUUAUCUGUUAUUUGUGUUUUACCUUUGUGGGUUUUCCUCAGUACUCAGUGAGUCUGUCUUUGAAUUAAAGGUUUAACUAUGUUUCAAGUUUUCCACUUACAAUGUUCAAGAGCUUUAUUUUUAAUACCUCGUGAUUUUUAAUAUUAGAUGAACUGUUGGAUGAAUAUUGCUCACCUAUGCUCACAUGAAGCAACAGAGGAUCUAUCUAAAACUCUGUAACUGUAUUAUUUACUCUAAGGGAAAGAUACACUUGAAGUAGAGUGCUGAGGUCAGCGACCACUCAGGUGUAACUGAGUGCCUGCAGUUUACUCAAGUAGGGGAGGGAUGAGUGAAAUACAGUCAUGGGAAAUGCAUUUACAUAAAAGUAAAGCACCUUUAUUAAAUUUAAUUAUGUACAUAGUUAAGAUUCUAAAAACCAUACCAUUUUAAACAAAAUGUUUUCAUAUAUUUCCAUAAAGAGUUUAGUCAUGUAGACAUUGAGCCAGUUUCUUUUCUUUCGUAUUUGUUGAUGGUUUCUGAAAUGACGAGAUGAACUAAAUCUACUAGAUCUCUUUGCUGCUCCUUGGUCUGAGUUUGUAUCGUGUAGAACUUUCUGCUUCUUUUUGAAGGUAAUUUCUAAAAGGAAGUUUUUAUUUUUAUUAGAGGUUUUAUUUUAAAAUUUCAGUUAAUUUUGGGAUUAUAAUUAUACCAUUUCCCUUUUUUUCCUCUCUCCAACCCUGCUCGCUCCCUUCCAUAUUCAUGGCCUCCUUUAUUAGAAUAACUUCUUGCAGCCGGAGGGAUGGCUCAUUGGUUAAGAACACUUGCAGAAAACCUAGGUGUGGUUCCCAGUAACCACGGGUGGCUGAAAACUAUCUGUAAUGUUAGCUCAAGGGGGUCUAACACUUUCUUCUUUCCUCCUUGGUCACUGCAAGUGUACUGUGUAAUUAUAAAAAAACAAUCAGCCCAGUACAUAGACUGAGACCAAGUGUUUCUCCACGUCAGUGCGUCUCUCACAAACCCCUGCUCUGCCUCUCCAGAGCUCAGAGAUGGGUCUUGCCAGCCUGCACUCCACUGCGAUUACCUCUCCUCUGGAGCUCGGUCCUUGCCCAGUCUUCCCAUUCUAAAAAGCCUGGCCAAAUUCUGCCCCAGCUAAAUUCUUUCUCUCCAGCCCACCUGAGUUGCUACAAAUGAAAAGCUCCAAUCUUAGUUUAGAAUCAACAGAUAACACAACUGCUGGGCGUGGAAUCUAUUGCCCUAAACUUAUCAAUUAUUCUAUAUUGGAAAUCUUAACUUUCCGUGGUCUACAACCUGCUCCUCUCACUCCUGCCUAACCAUACCAAAAAGUCUAUUCCUCCCUCCUCUUUCUCUCUUGGGCUCGAAAUGCCCUCCUCCCCCCUUUUGCCCGGUGAUUGGCUUCUUUUUGUCUUUAUUAUCCAAUCAAUUAAUUAGGGGAAAAUUCUGCUACAUGCAUAUAUAUGGUGCACUUACGUAUAUCCAUGUACUCAUAAACACAC